CCAUCGGUGGUUCAGUGGUAGAAAAUGCUCGCGGGCGGCCCGGGUUCGAUUCCCAGCUGAUGCA